UUCAUCCUACGGGGGGCAGCAGUGAGGAAUAUUGGUCAAUGGCCGAGAGGCUGAACCAGCCAAGUCGCGUGAGGGAAGACGGCCCUACGGGUUGUAAACCUCUUUUGUCGGGGAGCAAAGCGAGUCACGUGUGACUCAUUGAGAGUACCCGAAGAAAAAGCAUCGGCUAACUCCGUGCCAGCAGCCGCGGUAAUACGGAGGAUGCGAGCGUUAUCCGGAUUUAUUGGGUUUAAAGGGUGCGCAGGCGGAGG
rnacentral:rRNA from 1 species